AAAAGUCCAAAACUUUGCUGUUGGUAGCUGCUCUAGCAUAAGAAUCCCAUCCCAAGGUGCUCUGCUAGAUACAGACCACACGGACACAGCAAUCAAUCACCCCACAAGCUAAGCAAGCAGCAAUGGCGGACCUCGCGGUCGGCCUGGCCAAAUCGGUGGUGGAGGGGGCGCUGACCAAGGCGCAGUCGGCCAUCGAGGAGGACUCCAGGCUCCGGCAGAGCGCGCAGCGGGACCUGGUGUUCAUCACCGGCGAGUUCCAAAUGAUGCAGUCCUUCCUGAAGCUCGCCGACGACGAGCGCACGCGGAACAUCGUGGUGCGGACCUGGGUGCGGCAGAUCCGGGAGCUCGCCUACGACGUGGAGGACUGCAUCGAGUUCGUCCUCCACCUCGACAAGAAGUCCCAGUGGUGGCGCCGCAUGCUCCCGCCCUUCAUCGCGGCGGCCACGCAGCCGCUCGACGAGGCCAUCGCCGAGAUACGGCAGCUCAAGGCCCGAGUCGAGGAUGUGAGCUCCAGGAACGCGCGCUACAGCCUCAUCAGCGACUCCGGCUCCAAGCCCGCCGUCGUGCAGCAGCAACCACCCGCGGCGGCGCGCGCCGCCAUGGGCGCCGCGGCGUUCAGCAUGCUCGUCGAGGCCACGGACAUCGCCAGGCGGCAGCACGGAGAUCUCACCCAGCUCAUCCCCAAGAAGGACGAUGGGCUCCAGGUGAUCUCGGUGUGGGGGACGGGCGGCGAUCUCGGGACGACAUCCAUCAUCAGGAAGGCGUACAACGACCCUGAGAUCUGCCAGAACUUCACCCACCGCGCGUGGGUGAAGCUAACGCAUCCUUUCAAUCCCCACGAGUUCAUCCGGGGAUUGACUGCACAGUUCUAUGCAAACUCUUGCAUAGAAUUACACGAAGAAGCACUCAGAGGCGUCCUGACGAGGUCGGACGCCACCCAAGGCGAUUUUCUCAGUGAGUUUGUGCGGCAAGUCAACGAUGCGAGGUAUCUCAUCGUCUUGGAAAACCUGUCCACCAUGGCUGAGUGGGAUUCUAUCAGGACUUUUCUACCUGACAAGAAGAAUGGAAGCUGGAUCAUCGUGUCCACUCAGCAAUUCGAGAUAGCAAGCUUGUGCGUGGGACAUUCGUACCAAGUAUUGGAGCUGAAGCAGUUCUCUGCUGAGCACUCGGUUUAUGCCUUCAGAGAGGGUUCCCAAGGUGAUAGAGAGAAAGAUGAGGAGAUACCUGCUGAGCAUGGAGUGGGACCUGCCACAAUUCUCACCUCUAAAAAUAAUGCCGCUACUGCCUGGAUGAAAAAGAACUCCAUCAUUGGACGCGAGUCAGAAAUGAAUGAGCUUCGUGAAUAUACAACCAGGGCACGAUUUACCUCUUUGCAGGUUAUAUCUGUAUGGGGAAUAGCUGGUGUCGGGAAGUCAGCUCUUCUAAAAAAAUUCUUCUGCGACAGAAUUCGUACUAAUCUAUUUGUGAAAUAUGGUUGGGUGGAUGUAUCCCAUCCCUUCAAUUUAAGGGACUUCUCUAGGAGCUUACUUUUGGAUUUUCAUUCGGAAUCACUUCAAGACAAGGAGGCUGCUCACCAUGGAACGAUAAGGUUCAAAAACCCUAUUCAAGAGUGCCGUGAUCUUCUGGAACAACAUCAUUGCCUCGUCGUUAUUGACGAUCUUCAGUCCAAGGAAGAAUGGGACUUGAUAAAAGGUGCCUUGUUGUCUAGAUCCUCUGAAAGUAUUAUCAUUGUCAUUACGACUGAUUCAAGCAUCGCCACAUGUUGCGCGGAUAAGGAAGAGCUUGUGUUUAAUGUCAAAGGUCUUCAAGAUGAUGCAGCCUCUGAUCUCUUCCACCAGGAGGUGGAAAGGAUGAAGCCAUCGUCCACCUUGAAGAAUCUCAAAAAAGAGCCACUAGAGGAGCUUAUUCUCAAGUGUGGCGGGCUUCCAGAAGUAAUAGUAGCCAUAGCUGGUGUAUUGGCCAAGAAGACAGUCACACUAAUGGAUACAGUGGAUUCUACCAAUGGCAAAUUCAUGCAUACAUUGGAAACCAACCCAGAGUACGACAGUCUACAAGGUCUAUUCGGUUGGAUGUAUUCCUACUUCCGUAGUUGCCCAGAUUCCCUCAAGCCUUGCAUAUUCUACAUGUCGCUUUUCCCCCGAGAUCACAGCAUUCGGCGGAGACGCGUGGUGAGGCGGUGGGUCGCGGAGGGCUACUGUCGGGAUAGUGAAGACAAAUCGGCAGAGCAAAAUGGGGAGGUGUUCUUCUCCAUGCUCCUGGAUCUGAGCAUAAUACAGGAACCGUCACAGCUAGUGACCACCCCAGUGGGAGACACAAGGAUGAUCGCAUGCCGUGUCAAUGGCUUCAUCCGUGAAUACAUUGUCUCACGUCGGAUGGAGGAGAACCUUGUCUUUGAGCUGGAGGGCUCCUGCAACGUGACCACCCAACGAACCGGUCGUCACCUCAUCAUAAGGGAUAGCUGGGACAGGGACAAGAUUGUGUUUGAGAGCAUGGACUUCUCGAGGCUACGGUCAUUAACGGUAUUUGGGGAGUGGAAACAAUUCUUCAUCUCCGAAAGCAUGAAGCUGCUCAGGGUGCUUGAUCUAGAGGACGCAUCAGGCAUAAAGGAUGCGGAUCUCGAGCAGAUGUUGAAGCAACUCCGUCGUCUCAAGUUCCUCUCACUGCGCGGAUGUGGUGAGAUCCACCGUUUGCCAACCCCGUUUGGUCAUCUGCAGCAACUCCAGACUCUCGAUAUCAAACGCACCUCCAUUAUGAAACUGCCAGGGAACAUCACCAAGCUGCAAAAAUUGCAGUAUAUCCGUGCCGGCACCUCCGUCCAGGCAGAGGAAUCAUUAACACCAUGUCUUUCAGUGCCCAAAUUCUGCGGAUCUCGUGGCCAAGUUGGUGUUGUGGUGCCUGGAGGGAUUGACAAACUGACAGCGUUGCACACGCUUGGUGUUGUCAACGUCGGUGCAUCAGGGGGGAAGGCCAUCCUUAAAGAGCUCGAAGAUCUGACCCAAUUGCGCAAGCUCGGAGUGUCUGGUAUCAACAUGAGAAAUAGCAAGAAGUUUUCCUCUGCAAUCUCAGGUCAUGUCCAUUUGGAAUCCUUAUCGGUGCAGCUGGACAAUGACAGUGAAGGUUGCUUGUCUGGCAUCAAAUUGCCUUUGAAGACACUGCAGAGUCUGAAACUGCAUGGGCCUGUAGAGAAGUUGCCAGUUUUGGAGGUCAGCGAGCUUAAAAAGCUGACAAAAUUGGAUCUGGAAAUGACCACAUUGACAGAGACUGACAAAAGGCUCAUCGGGAGUCUACCCAAAUUAUGCACUCUUCGUAUCAAGCUGCUGCAAGAUAGUCAGCUCGGUUUUUUUAUCACAGAUACUGGAAGUGGCCUUGAGUUGCCCACUUAUGAAAAGGUCAAGGUCCUCGAGAUUGCUUCCUGCUCCAGCUUAGAUGUUACUUUUGGAGAAAAAACAAUGAAAAGUCUUGAGCUGCUGAAGGCUCACUGCUGCAGUGGGUCUUCAGUGAAGUUCUCCGGCCUGGAUAAUCUAACUGAACUCAAGGUAGUCUUGCUUAAGGGUUGCUGUGACGACGAACUGAAGGAAGAGCUGCGGACCCAACUCAACGGUCAUCCAAAGAAACUGACUCUGAAGCUGGAGGCAUAGCCACGUUCGUCCUGAUGGAUACUGAUCUCUGAAUGAUAGAUACCUGCACCUUGGCAUUGUUGGAUUGGAUCAACAGCCUCCAUCUUGGGAUCUUGUGAGAACUCCUGUUUUUGGUAUGAAUCAUAUUUACUGCUUGUACUUGAUGUGAAACCAUGCAAUCUAGCUAUCAUGUGGCUCAGGGGUGAGCUGCAAGAGUUGACUUGAGAUUAUAAAUUGCUGAUGUGAUGCAAUAAAUAUUAUCUCAGUGCAUAUAUUUCUAAAGGAAAAAUACAUGAAAAAGAGUUACCUUGAGGUACCUGCAUUUCUAUUUUCUUCUUUGACAUGAUAAUUGGCAUGCAUCUUAGAUGAGCAUUGUUAGCAAAUUAGAAUUGUAUUAGCAAUUUGGUUUGGUCCAUUCUUAUCUGUAAAAAAAGAGUUACUAAUCCUGCUAAUGUGAGUUCUCUGAUUAUUAGAGUAUUUUGUCUCAAGCCUGCAUAUCGUGUCGAUAUUCUAAAAAUGCACAUGAAUCCUGAAUAGUAAUGCACCAAUGCUCUGCAUCUGGAACUAAUUUUAAAUGAAUAUUUAUGCAGCACUUGAAAGAUUGCU